rnacentral:rRNA from 1 species
AACGAACGCUGGCGGCAUGCCUAACACAUGCAAGUCGAACGAAGGCUUCGGCCUUAGUGGCGCACGGGUGCGUAACGCGUGGGAAUCUGCCCUUUGGUUCGGAAUAACAGCUGGAAACGGCUGCUAAUACCGGAUGAUGACCAAAGUCCAAAGAUUUAUCGCCAGAGGAUGAGCCCGCGUUGGAUUAGGUAGUUGGUGGGGGAAAGGCCUACCAAGCCGACGAUCCAUAGCUGGUCUGAGAGGAUGAUCAGCCACACUGGGACUGAGACACGGCCCAGACUCCUACGGGAGGGAGGAGUGGGGAAUAUUGGAAAAUGGGCGCAAGCCUGAUGCAGCAAUGCCGGGUGAGUGAUGAAGGCCGGAGGGUUGUAAAGCUGUUUUACCCGGGAAGAUAAUGACUGUACCGGGAGAAUAAGCCCCGGCUAACUCCGUG